UAUUGGACAAUGGGGGCAACCCUGAUCCAGCCAUGCCGCGUGAGUGAUGAAGGCCUUCGGGUUGUAAAGCUCUUUUGGCGGGGACGAUGAUGACGGUACCCGCAGAAUAAGCCCCGGCUAACUUCGUGCCAGCAGCCGCGGUAAGACGAAGGGGGCUAGCGUUGUUCGGAAUUACUGGGCGUAAAGCGCGUGUAGGCGGUUUGCCAAGUUGGGUGUGAAAGCCUUGGGCUUAACCCAAGAAAUGCACUCAGUACUAGCAGACUAGAGGACCGGAGAGGAUAGUGGAAUUCCCAGUGUAGUGGUGAAAUACGUAGAGAUUGGGAAGAACACCAGUGGCGAAGGCGGCUAUCUGGACGGUUCUGACGCUAAGACGCGAAA
rnacentral:rRNA from 1 species